CCAAUGGUUUUGUUCAAAACCACUGUCAAUCAGUAAUAAGCAUUCU
rfam:Loxodonta africana unplaced genomic scaffold scaffold_49, whole genome shotgun sequence.